CUCUGGGAAACUGGGGAUAAUACCGGAUAUUAGGCUAUGCCUGCAAUGGUUUGCCUUUGAAAUGUUUUUUUUCGCCUUAGGACAGAUCUGCGGCUGAUUAGGUCGUUGGUGGGGUAAUGGCCCACCAAGCCGAUGAUCGGUACGGGUUGUGAGAGCAAGAGCCCGGAGAUGGAACCUGAGACAAGGUUCCAGACCCUACGGGGUGCAGCAGGCGCGAAACCUCCGCAAUGUACGAAAGUGCGACGGGGGGAUCCCAAGUGUCAUGCUUUUUUGUAUGACUUUUCAUUAGUGUAAAAAGCUUUUAGAAUAAGAGCUGGGCAAGACCGGUGCCAGCCGCCGCGGUAACACCGGCAGCUCGAGUGGUAGCUGUUUUUAUUGGGCCUAAAGCGUUCGUAGCCGGUUUGAUAAGUCUUUGGUGAAAGCUUGUAGCUUAACUAUAAGAAUUGCUGGAGAUACUAUCAGACUUGAAGUCGGGAGAGGUUAGAGGUACUACCGGGGUAGGGGUGAAAUCCUAUAAUCCUGNGAGGACCACCUGUGGCGAAGGCGUCUAACUGGAACGAUCUUGACGGUGAGUAACGAAAGCCAGGGGCGCGAAACGGAU
rnacentral:rRNA from 1 species